rnacentral:lncRNA from 1 species
AUAAUGUACACAUGAUGUGUUGUUUGAGAUAAAAUCUUCCUAUAUAGGUCUGGCUGUCUGGGAAUUGUCUAUGUACAUCAAUUGGCCAUAAACUCACAGAGAUGCCUCCUGCUUCUAUCUCAAGAGUUCUGGGAUUAAACCAUUUUAAAAGAUUGUUGACAAAAAUUAUAUAUAUUCAUGAUAUUUAAAAUGACACUUUGAAAGUUAUAUAUUGUGAAAUGGUGAAAUCAGGCUAGUUAAGUCAAUAACCUCAUAUAUUUUGUGGUGAAACAUUUAAAAUUUUAGUGAUUUUUUCAAGUAUAUAAUAUUACUAUAGUUACUAUGUCACACAUUGGAUUAUUAUAUAUGAACAGUUGGUUUUCUUUAAAAAGUUAAUUAAUGUUUGGUGCUUAGGAUCGACCAAGGACCUAACUCAUGCUCUGUACCACUGAGCUAUUCCUCCCUCACAAUUGUGAACUUAGAUAAGUAUAAGACAACAGUGGACUAGGAGUGUAUCUCAGUGACUGAACACUUGUACAUUGAGGCCAUGAGUUUUGUUCUCAGAGUUUCAGAGAGUGGGGAUUGUGGGUAGACAAGAGAAAAUAUGGUAGUCAUUUUAUGGGUUGUAGAUUCAAAAGCAGCAUGAUUUCUGUGGUUAUAGUGGCACAGGCAAAGGCCAGCCUCUUUCAGGAUUAGCAUUCUCUCUUUUUAAAAGAAUUAUUUUUUAUUUUUUAAAUGGUUUUUUUCUGGUUUUCUGAGACAGGCUUCUCUGUGUAACAGCCCUAGCUGUCCUGGAAUUCACUUUGUAGAUCAGACAUGUCUCAACCUCACAGAGAUCAUCCUGCCAGUCUCCCCAUUCCUGGGAUAACAGUUGUAUGCUACAAUGUCCGGCUCUAUUUUUUAAUUUUUUUAAUUAGAAAAUUAUUUUACAUGUCAAUCCCAGGUCCCUCUCCCUCCCCUCCUCUCCUGCCCCCCCCAACAAACACCCUACCUAUCCCAUACCCUUUCUGCUCCCCAGGAGGUAAGGCCUUCCAUAGGGGUUCUUAAGUCUGUCAUAUUCUUUGGGAUGAGGCCUAGGCAGCCCCCUUGUGUCUAGGCUCAGGGAGUAUCCCUCCAUGUGGGAUGGGCUCCUAAAGUCCAUUCCUAUGGUAGUCAUAAGUAUUGAUUCCAAGGUCUCCUCACUGACACCCACAUUCAGGGGGUCUGGAUCAGUCCCAUGCUGGUUUCCCAGCUAUCCCUCUGGGAACCAAGAGUUUUCCCUUGUUCAGGUUAGCUGUUUCUGUGGGUUUCACCAGCCUGGUAUAGACCACUUUGCUCAUCAAUCCUCCUUCUCUGAAUCUGGAUUUCAGUUUAGUUCAAGGUUUAGCUGUGGGUGCCUGCUUCUACUCCCACCAGCUGCUGGCUGAAGUCUAUAUGAUGGCACAUGAAUUCGUCAUCAAUCUCAUUAUCAGGAGAGGGCAUUAAAGGUAGCCUCACCUCUGUUGCUUAGAUUGUUAGUUGGUGUCAUCUCUGUAGCUCUCCAGACAGUUCCCUAGUACCUGAUUUCUCUUUGCACUUAUAAUGUCUCACUCUAUUAUAUUAUCUCUUAUCUUGCUCUCUUCUGUUCUUCCCCCAACUCAAACUCCCUGUACCAUAAUGUCUUCCUCACCCCUUUUUUUCUUCCUUUCUCAUUCUCCUAGUUCCCCCUUCCUUCCCUCAUGCUCCCAAUUUGCUCAGCAGAUCUUGUCCCUUUCCAGGGGGCCAUGUAUGUCUCUCUUAGGGUCCUCCUUGUUUACCAGCUUCUCUGGCAGCCUGGGCUACAGGCUGGCAAUCCUUUACUCUAUGUCUAAAAUCCACAUAUGAAUAAGUACAUAUAAUGCCUGUCUUUUUGUGACUGGGUUACCUUGCUCAGAAUGGUUUCUUCUAGUUCCAUCCAUUAGCCUAUGAAUUUAAAGAUUUCAUUGCUAUUUUUCCCCACUGCAUAGUACUCCAUUGUGUAAAUGUUUCACAUUUUCUCUAUCUAUUUUUCAGUUGAGGGGCAUAUAGGUUGUUUCCAGGUUCUGGCUACUACAAAUAAGGCUGCUAUGAACAUAGUUGAAUACAUGUCCUCGUUGUAGAAAUGUGCUUCUUUUGGCUAUAUGCCUAAGAGAGGAAUUGCUGGAUCUUGUGGUAGACUGAUUGCUAUUUUUCCUGAGGAAUCGCCAUACAGAUUUCCAGAGUGGCUGUACGUGUUGGCACUCCCACUAGCAGUGGAGGAGUGUUCCCAUUUCUCCACAAACUCUCCAGCAUAAACUGUCAUUGGUGUUUUGAUUUUAGCCAUUAUGACAGGUGUAAGAUGGUAUCUCAGAGUUGUUUUGAUUUGUAUUUCCCUGAUGGCUAAGGAUUUUGAACACUUUCUUGUGUGUCUUUCAUCCAUUUUAGAUUUCUCUAUUGAGCAUUGUCUUAUUAAGUACUGUACCUCAGUUUUUAAACGUUUUAUUUAUUUAUUGUGUAUACAACAUUCUGCCUCCAAGUGUGCCUGCAGGCCAGAAGAGGGCACCAGAUCUAUUUACAGAUGGUUGUCAGCCAACAUGUGCUUGCUGGGAUUGAACUCAGGACCUCUGGAAGAGCAGGCAGUGCUCUUAACCUCUGAACCAUCUCUCUAGUUCCCCUGUACCCCACUUUUUAAUUGGAUUAUUUGAUGUUUUGGAGAUGAGCUUAAGUUAUUUGUAAAUUUUGGAGAUCAGCCCUAUGUCAGAUGUGCGGUUGGUGAAUAUCUUUUCCCAGUCUGUGGGCUGCCGUUUUGUCUUGUUGACAGUGACUUUUGCCUUAGAGAAGCUUCUCAGUUUCAGGAGGUCCCAUUUAUUAAUUGUGGAUCUCAGUGUCUGUGCUACUGGUAUUAUGUUCAGGAAUCUGUCUCCUGUACCAAUUUGUUCAAGGGUAUUUCCUACUUUUUCUUCUAAUAAGUUCAGUGUAGCUGUGGUCAUGUUGAGGACUUUGAGCCAUUUGGACUUAAGUUUUGUACAUGGAGAUAGACAAGGAUCAGUCUGCAGUCUUUUACAUGCCAGCAUCCAGUUAUGCCAGCACCAUUUAUUAAAGAUGCUUUCUUUAUUCCAUCGAAUAAAUUUAGCUUCUUUUAAAAAAUCUAUUGUUUGUAGGUGUGUGGGUUAAUAUUGGGCUUUUCAACUAUAUUCCAUUGGUCUACCUGUCUAUUAUUGUGCCAAUAACAAGCUGUUUUCAGGACUAUAGCUCUGUAAUAGAGGUUGAAGUCAGGGAUGGUGAUGCCUCUGGAAGUUCCUUUAUUGUACAGGGUUGUUUUGGCUAUCCUGGGUCUUUUGUUUAUCCAUAUGAAGUUAAGAAUUGCUCUUUCAAGUUCUGUGAAGGAUUGUGUUGGGAUUUUGAUGGGGAUUGUGUUGAAUCUCUAGAUUGCUUUUGGCAAGAUUCCCAUUUUUAGUGUGUUGAUCCUACCUAUCCAAGAACAUGGGAGAACUUUCCAUUUUUUGGUUUCUUCUUUAAUUUCUUUGUUUAGAGACAAAAAUUUCUUACAGUACAGAUCUUUCACUUUUUUGGUUAGCAUUACCUCAAGGAAUUUUAUAUUGUUUGUGGCAAUUGUAACUAUUUCUUCAUGAAUGGAUCCUCUGUAUACAGUAGUGCUACAGGUUUUUUUUGAGUUAAUCUUGUAUCCUGCCACGUUGCUGAAGGUGUUUAUCAGCUGUAGGAGUUCCCAGGUAGAGUUUUUCAGUUCACUUAUGUAGACUAUCAUAACAUCUGGAAACAGUGAAAGCUUGACUUCUUCCUUUCCAAUUUGUAUCUCCUUGAUCUUCUUUUGUUGUCUGAUUGCUCUAGCUAGAACUUCAAGGACAAUAUUGAAGAGAUAUGGAGAGAGUGGGCAGCUUUGUCUUGUUCCUGAUUUUGGAGGAAUAGCUUUGAGUUUCUCUCCAUUUAGUUUGAUGUUGGCUGUUGGCUUACUGUAUAUUGUUUUUAUUAUGUUCAGGUAUGUUCUUGUUAUUCCUGAUCUCUCCAGGUCAUAUAUCAUGAACAGACGUUGGUUUUGUCAAAGGCUUUUUUCAGAAUCUAGUGUGAUGAUCAUGUGGUAUUUCAUCUUCAGUUGCUUUAUAUGGUGGAUUACAUUGAUAGAUUUUUGAAUGUUGUACUAACCCUGCAUCCCAGGGAUGAAGCUUCCGUGAUCAUGGUGGAUGAUUUUUUUAAAUAUACUUGGAUUCGGUUUGCUAGUAUUUUAUUCAGUAUUUUUGCAUCUAUGUUCAUGGGGUAUAUUGUUCUGUAGUUCACUUUCUUAGUUGUGUCUUUGUGUGGCUUGGGUAACCAAGGUAAUUGUAGCCUUGUAAAAAGAGUUUGGCAAUGAACAUUCUGCUUCUAUUGUGUGAAACAAUUCAAAAAGUAUUGGUAUUAGCUCUUAUUUGAAUUUCUGGUGGAAUUCUACACUGAAGCCAUCUGUCCCUGGCCUUUUAUUGGUUGGGAGACAUUUGAUGACUUCUUCUGUUUAUUUAAAGGUUAUGGGCCUGUUUAAGUUGGCUAUCUCUUUUGAUUCAAUUUUGGGUAAGUGAUAUCUGUCCAAAAAAUUGUACAUUUCUUUUAAAUUUUUGAAUUUUGUGGAGUACAGGUUUUCAAACUAUGACCUCAAGAUUCUCUGGAUUUGCUUUAAAUUUUUGAAUUUUGUGGAGUACAGGUUUUCAAACUAUGACCUCAAGAUUCUCUGGAUUUGCUUUAAAUUUUUGAAUUUUGUGGAGUACAGGUUUUCAAGUAUGACCUCAAGAUUCUCUGGAUUUCCUAAGUGCCCUCCUUUUCAUAUCUGAUUUUGUUAAUUAGCAUGCUCUCUCUGUCUCUCUGACUUUUGGUUAGUUUGGAUAAAGUUUUGUCCAUCUUGCUGAUUUUUCUUGAAGAACCAACUCUUUGUUACAUUGAUUCUUUCAAUUUUUUUCGUUCUUUCAACUUUAUUGAUUUCUGCCCUCAAUUUGAUUAUUUCCUGUUGUCUACUCCUCCAGGGUGAAUUUGCUUCUAUUUGUUCCAUCUGUGAUGUCAUAUCUCUGGUGUGACUAUUCUCUAGUUUCUUCAUGUGAGCUCUUAGAAUUAUGGACUUUCCUCUUAGUACUGCUUUCAAAGUGUCCCAGAAGUUUGGGAAUGUUGUGUCUUCUUUUUCGUUGAAUUCAAGAAAGUCUUUAAUUUCUUUCUUUAUUUCUUCCUUGACUCAGGAAUGGUGCAAUUGCAUGUUGUUCAAUUUCCAUGAGUUUGUAGGUUUUCUGCAAUUUGUGUUGUUUUUGAUUUCUAACUUUAAGGCAUGGUGGUCUAAUAAGACACAGGCCAUUUUCCCAACUUUUUUGUACCUGUUGAGCUUUGCUAUGUUGCUGAGUAUGUGAUGCUGAAAAGAAGAAAUAUUCUUUUGUGUUUGGAUGGAAAGUUCUAUAGAUGUCUGUUAAUCCCAAUUGGGUCAUAGCUUCUGUUAGUUCCUUUGUCUCUUUGUUAAGUUUCUGUCUGGUAGUCCUGUCCAGUGGUGUGAGUGGGGUGUUGAAGUCUCCCAGUAUAACUGUGUGAGGUCCUGUUUGUGAUUUGAGUUUUAAUAAUGUUUCUUUUAUGAAUGUUGAUGCCUUUGUAUUUGGGGCAUAGAUGUUUAGAAUUGAGACUUCUUCCUGAUGGAAUUUUCCUGUGAUGAAUAUGAAAUGCCCUUCUUCAUCUCUUUUGAUUGAUUUUAGUUUGAAGUCUAACUUGCUAGAUAAUAGGGUAGCUAGCCAAGCUCAUUUCUUGGGUCCAUUUGAUUGGAAUAUCUUAUCCCAACACUUUCCUCUGAGGUAAUGUCUGUUUUGAAGUUGAUGUGUGUUUCUUGUAUGCAGCAGAAGGAAGGAUUCUGUCUCUGUAUCCACUCUGUAAGACUGUGUCUUUUGAUAGGCGAGUUAAGACCAUUAAUAUUGAGGAAAAUUAAGGACCAUUGAGUGCUUAUUCUUGUUUGUUUUUUAUUUGGUGUUGGUAGUGGUAUUGUAGGUGGAUUUACCCUGCUUUUUUGGGGGGGUUGAUAAAGUGGGAUUAUCUAUUGCCUAUGUUUUUUGUGUGUAGUAAAUUUCCUUAGGUUGUAGUUUUCCUUCCAAUACUUUCUGUAGGGCUGGAUUAGUGGUUAUACAUUGUUUAAAUAUGGUUUUGCCAUUGAAUGUCUUAUUUUCUCCAUUUAUAGUGACUGAAAUCUUUGCUGGGUAUAGUUUUCUGGGCUGGCAUCUGUAUUCUCUUAGAGUUGGUAGAAUAUCUAUCCAGGUCCUUCUGGCUUUCUGAGUUUCCAUUCAGAAGUCCCGUCUACUUUAUAUGUUACUUGGCCUUUUUCCUUUGCUGCUAUUAAUGUUCAUUGUUUAUUCUGUAUGUUUUGUGUUUUAUUAUGUGAUGAUGGGACUUUCUUUUGUGGGGCAAAUCUGGCUCUAUUAUUUUAGUGUUAUAAGUGCAUGUAAGUAUGAGCACUGUAUGUGUGGCUGGUUCCUGAUGAAGCCAGAAGAGGGCGCCAGAUUAUUUGGAACUGGACUUGCACAGAUGGUUGUAAGCCUUAUGUGUUCAAGGUGUGUUGAACCCUUUUCCUCAAGAAGAAUAGCAGGUGCUCUUAGCUGCUGAGUCAGGUCUCUAGCCCAGUAAUUGGGAAUCUCUUAAUGAACCCUUUUUCAAAUAACUAGUAUACCUUUGCUUUUCUGUCAGUGUAUCCUGUCAUUCUCAGAUUACAGUAGGGUGGUGAGUUUCCCAGAGAGACAGUGCUUACUAAAAUAUUUGCCCUGUAGGAAAGAGGAGCCCGCAUUUUAUCAUCUUCAGAAAACAGGUGAGAGACACCUAUUAGAAUUUUUGUGAUUAUUAUUUAUUAUAGCAAAGUACUCCGUGAAAUAUUUGAUAUGGAUGGAGUGAGCAAAUGAUUUGCUGAUUUACUUAGUAAAUUAAAUUUAUCACAUGGGUGUUAGAGUGCAUACCUAUAAUCCCAGAACUCAGAUAGCUGGGCCAGAAAGAUAAAGAGUUUGAGGCUCUCUUAGCAUACACAUUAAGAUCCUGUCUAUAAAAGUAAAUUAAAGGUUUCAAAAUUUCUGAUUCCUAGGCAUCUCUUAGGAAAAUUACCUCACAGAUGAGUACCCAGAAUCUAUGUUUUUAGAAAAAGAUUUUUAAAAGUGUGUGUGGAGGGGGGGGAGGUGUUGCCUUAGAGGCCAGAACAGCAUUCCAUUAGAUCCUGAGUUACAUGUAGUUUGGAGCCACUCAAUGUGGGUGCUGGCGGCUUUGGAAAACCAGGAAGUGCUCUUAACCAUUGAACCAUCCCCCCAGCCUUGAGAAACUGUAUGGUUAAAGAAUGUUUUCAGGUGAGGUAUUCUUAUAUAAUAGAUAUAGUAGUGUCCAAUGACAGGUUUGAUAGUCACAAUGUUUAGGGUAGUUAUCAAAAAAUGUUAAAUAACACCAAAUAUACACAGAAAAGAAUCAACAAAUAUAUUGAAAGAUUUUAUAAAUGUAUCAGGAUAUAUUUUACUUACUUAAAAAUCCUUUUUAUGAAACUGACACCUUAAUUUUUUCCUCCUCAUAACAAUGAACAGUAAACUUUGCCUCAUGGAUCCCCAUGUAUAUUUCCAAGCAGGAAUCUGUGAAAAAUCUGUGAAAAUUUGAGGUACAGUGACAUAGUACUGACUCCAUCCACCUCCAGAAACUUACUUGAAGUAGGAAUAUCUUACGUGAUGCUGUUACUUCCCAAGGUGGCACUGUGAAAAAGAAUUUCUCUGUUAUGCAACUAGCUAUAGUGUACUGUAGGGAAUGCUGCAUGUUUGGUUGUGAUAAAUGGAGGACUUGUUGUUCUUGGGUUUUCUUUUGUGCCCUCAUAGUCAUCCAGAGGCUUUCAUCUCAUCCAAGCUGUUAUUCUCUAUUCCAGGCUUGCAGCUAGAAUCAAGGCUGGGAAUUCUGAAGGACUGGGGAUGGUGUGAGUUCAUGAUCUCUGCCCAUAGACAGGUGUUGUCCUCAUCUGGGCAUCCUGGGUGCAGGAUUUGUAGAGUACUUCCCUGCAGCACAAGGAUUAUCUGGCCAGAAGUGUCCAUCCAUUUUCAGCACUGAAAAAGAUUGGCAGAAGAAGGCAGGGUCUGUGGGUGAAAGACCUGCACGGCUUCCAGCAUGUGCAUGCCGAGGAUCUGGCACUGGAUUCUGGCCUGAGGAACUCCAUGAAGCAGAUCAGAGGCUUUCUGGUCUUUCUUAUUUUCCUCUUUGAAUGUGAAGAUGCUUCUGCUGGAGCUUUCCUGGGCCUGAUCACUCCUGAAGACUCUAAAGUCUGUGAAUUGUGUUGCCGUGAGAUCUUCCAAUUGGAUUAAGUCAGUGAUGGAGUUUAAGAGUUGGGGAAGGCUUGGAGCAGGAGGCAAUGUCAUGAAUUGUGAAGCACUUUAGAUGGGAGCAGUCAAUGAUCUGUCCCCAAAGACAGGUGGUGUCUUCACCUACACAUCCUGUGUGCAGGCAUUGCAGAGCUCUGGACUCUGCAGCUGACAGAUUGUCUGGCCUGGAGGUGUCAAUCCCAGGGAUGUCUCCAUUUCCACUACUUAAAAAGAGUGAAGGAAGAAGACAGUGUCUGGUGAGUGAGAUGCUCCUCUCCUUUGAGUGCCCCUACAGCAUUGGGGCAGGGUUUCCUAUAGCUCUGCUUGAGUAGCAAGUGCAUCACCUUUGUUUGGAGACUCAUAGUACUCUUCAGUGUUUUGUGGUGACCAUGUAAUGUUGUGUCCUCUCAGAUGUUUGUGUGUUCCUUUGUGUUUGUGUGGUGUGUGCAUGCAUAGUGAUCACUGGUAGGUUACAGAAUUCCCUUGGCCUGUGGUCUUCCCUCACCCUCCCCUUUGUCUUUGAAAUAGUGCCUCUCCUUUCUUUGGAAGUUUGCUCUUAGGCAGGUCAUCGUGUCUAAAGGUUCCAAAACUUACAUGUGUCUUUAUCUUGUUUCAGUCUCUGUCAUUACUACUAUGUCCCCAGAAAGCUUGGUUUUUAUAGGUGGUUAGGUUACUGCACCCAAUUCCCCACUCCUGACAGCCCACCAGUUGUAGAACCCUGACUUUUAUCCAGCCCCACUUUUCAGAGACUUCUAUAAGUGGCAUGACAAUUAGUUUAAGGAGGUGAAAUCUUUGGGCUGGAGGGUUACUUUCUCCCAUCAUUGAGACAGAAUGAUUGGGAUGGGGAGCCAGAGGCAAAGCUAUCCUCUUGGGACUCCCAUUCUUCCUCUGUGUGGGUAUUAAGAUCUAAAAUAUUAUCCCACAUGGCUAUCAUGGACCUGGAGGAGAGGGUGGCAUUCUGGUCCAUGACAGUUACAGUGAAGUCUUUCCUGUCAGUGCUUUCUGUGAGAUCCCAUGGGAGAGCACUUGGAUAAGAGAGUGCUAAGGUAGAGAUCUGGUUCUGGCCAGUCAGUGCACUCAGCUUGUUCAUGCCAGCUCAUUGAUAAAGGUAGGCACUGUCCAUGAGCUGCUGGUCACAAGUGCUGGGAUCUGAUGGCAGGAGCCAUGCAGAACUCACAGCUGGUGUGGAGACCCUGGAGAAGUUGCACACACUUCCUGCUGAAGGUGUGGAAUUCCUCAGCACAGGCACAGAAGGCCUCAGAGCACAUUCUGUCCCAAAGAAUGGUGUGCUUUGGAAAUUUGGAAAUUAACUGUAGAAAGCAAGAGAACACUGAGAAAAUUGUGAGAUGGAAAUUUUGUAGCUUCCUGUGAAGAUCUGUGUUAUGGCCAGGUUGUCCUGUCUGGGUUUGUCUGUAACCCAUGUUCC